AAAUUGAAGAGUUUGAUCAUGGCUCAGAUUGAACGCUGGCGGCAGGCCUAACACAUGCAAGUCGAACGGUAACAGGAAGCAGCUUGCUGCUUUGCUGACGAGUGGCGGACGGGUGAGUAAUGUCUGGGAAACUGCCUGAUGGAGGGGGAUAACUACUGGAAACGGUAGCUAAUACCGCAUAACGUUGCAAGACCAAAGAGGGGGACCUU
rnacentral:rRNA from 1 species